CACUCCUGCGGGAGGCAGCAGUGGGGAAUUUUGGACAAUGGGCGAAAGCCUGAUCCAGCAAUGCCGCGUGAGUGAAGAAGGCCUUCGGGUUGUAAAGCUCUUUUGUCAGGGAAGAAACGGUGAAAGCUAAUAUCUUUUGCUAAUGACGGUACCUGAAGAAUAAGCACCGGCUAACUACGUGCCAGCAGCCGCGGUAAUACGUAGGGUGCAAGCGUUAAUCGGAAUUACUGGGCGUAAAGCGUGCGCAGGCGGUUUUGUAAGUCUGAUGUGAAAUCCCCGGGCUCAACCUGGGAAUUGCAUUGGAGACUGCAAGGCUAGAAUCUGGCAGAGGGGGGUAGAAUUCCACGUGUAGCAGUGAAAUGCGUAGAUAUGUGGAGGAACACCGAUGGCGAAGGCAGCCCCCUGGGUCAAGAUUGACGCUCAUGCACGAAAGCGUGGGGAGCAAACAGGAUUAGAAACCCCAGUAGUCCCA
rnacentral:rRNA from 1 species